rnacentral:rRNA from 1 species
AAGGUAGCUUAAUAAUUUGAAUUUUAAUUGAAUUCUAGAAAUGAAUGAAAAUUAUUCUUAUUUUUUAUUUUUAUUAAAUUAAUAAAAUUAAAAUAGUAAAUUAAAAUUUUUACUUAAAUAAAAAAAAAGAAAAGACCCUGAAAAUUAAAUUUUAAUUGGGACAAUUUUUAUAAUAUAGUACUUUAAAAGUAUUAAAAAAUUACUUCAGGGAUAACAGAGUGCUCAAUAAUAUUUAUUUGAAUGCUACAUCGAUGUUGUAUUAUAAUUAAUUUAAUUAGAAGUUAAUUAAAAAAUUAAGAUUGUUCAUCUUUUUGAAUUAU